GUAGGUCGCACCGGGCUGAGUUGGCGUCCCCCCGCACCCGCCCCCCGCCCCCAGCCCCCAGCCACCCCCGGUGCCGGCGCCUUCCCGGAUGUGGUGUGCUCCGUGGAGAGGGCUGGCUGCGGGGAUCGAAGCUCGGGGACCGGCGGGCAAGAGGGAAGGGCUGCUGGCCCAGGACUUGCCAAAGCCCUGACCCGGGGUUGGGGGAGUGGGAUUUGGCUCCAGAUUUGGGGGUGGGGGUCCGGGAAAGCUUCAGACGUGGCAGAGAGUGGGUGGACCGGUGAGCGAAGAUCUGAGAAGGGCCCCCGGGAUGAAGAAUGGGAACACGGGCGGGCCAGAAAGGUCCUGCAGGCCCACCCCAGACUCCAAAUUCCGGGAACAGCAGGUCAUCCCCUUCUUCCUGUUUCCCACUCCCGCCUUCCCUGUGCCGAGCCUCUUCUCCACAUCUCUCUUAUCCCCUUUGUCGGAAUGGAGACCUCUGAGCUUCUGGGACUCUAUGGCUGCUGUACAGAGUUGAGUCGGAACUGUGCCCAGGGUUGCAUUCCCGGGGCGGCUCAAAGGCCGCAUCUCCAAGCAGAAGGGUGAGCCGGCGACCCACCUUCAGCUGAGUCGGCGGCGUCCCGGCUCCUUCGCGCUGUGCGCAGAGGCCCCAGGUCUCUUUCAAGCCCAGUUGUGGCUCCUGCGUCUCCCGACGGGCUUCCCCUGCUGAAAACUUGGCGGACUGUACUGUAGAAACGGGGCCUCGGCCUGAAGUUGGAUACUGCCGGUAGCUGGCGAGUGCUGUCUUGCUUGGACCGCCGACAGAAGCCGCCAAUUCCUCCCCAGGGCGACCCCGGGCCCUCUGGCGAUCCGGGAUUCUCUUGGGCUUGGACUAAGGUGUCAGAAACAGCUUCGGGUUUUCUCCACCUAAGGGAAGACCCAGUCGACGGUGCGGAAUCGCUUGGGAAGAAGCAAGAACUGAGAUGGAAGCUGUAGGGCAGGAGUCUUAGCUCCCCAAUUCUAUGGACACCUCAUUUCCCCUGAGCCUUUCUCUCUACCUCCUUGCUCCUUUCCUUAGGGCUUAGUGCUCCCACAGCCUGCCUGCGCGCUACCAGCGGCCCACAAGCAGGGUCCUAGGACCCCUACCCUCUGGGCAGUGGAGCCCUGUCUGUUCUCCCCCAGCCGUGCUUCUGACCAGAGCCAGCCGUGAGUCCCCUCCCAGUUUACAGCCCCAGCUGGAAGCCAGAAUCCUGGGCAGGAGUGGAGGACAGGGCGCGGCCCAGCCUGGUGCUGCACAGCUUGGAGGCGCGGGCGCCGGGCUGUGCGGAUCUGAGAUUCCACCCUGCCAGCCAGGGGUAGAGUCAGGGCUGCCAGAGCACGCAGACCCCAUCCUGCCUUGCUUGCUGGCCACUGGCCCCUGAGAUCCUCAGAUGCGUGCAUGUAGGAACGUGGGGGGAGCCAGCCUGGACCAGAGCUGAGGCCCCCAGCCAAGACCUAGGCUGGGGGCUGCUCCUCCCAGGACCUAGCCUGGGCUCUGAAGACCUGGGUGCUCAGGAAGUGAAGCAGGCAGGCACUGAAGGGGUUGAGUGUACCGGCCUCUGGAGCCAGAUGUGAUCACCCUUGACUCCUUGGAUCACUGGCUGUACUUGACCCCCAGGACACAGGGGUCAAAGGCUCAGGU
ensembl:lncRNA